GACCUGGCUGGGUCAGGAUUCUAAGUGGUUGGGCAGUUAACAACUGUCUCUCUGAAGCUGGGAUUCAGACACAGAAGCUGUGAGUCUGAGAGUCUUCCUGAAUAAAUCAUCUUUGAAGCUGCCUGCCUUGGAUAAUCCUCAAGAAAAAGGUUCCGAGAUUGAGAUGAAGUGAGAGGAGAGGUCAAUCGGCCUAACCCUCUCCUUUUCCAUACCAGGAACCUGAGGCACACAGAGAUGCAGUGAUCCCCUAGCCAGCAAGCACCAGUCAGAAUCUGAAUCCAAGUCCUGUCUCUCCUGAAGAUUUGUGUGGUCGCUGAUGGCAACCUCCAAACAAGCCAUGCAGGAUCAGGUAUGAGUGAGUCACAUGUUUAGAAAACCCUAAAGAACCUGAGUUAAGGGAUAAAGUAGGAGCCAUGAAAGUUAAUUCCAGCUUGGACUGAAUUAAGGGAAGUAUGGUACCCAACUUGAGGGAGGUGAUGAGAUUGCCUCCUGCCCUGCUCAUCUUUUUCUAAAGUAGGUUCAGUUUUGCAGUGGUUUAUCCCAUUGUAGGUAGGAAUGGGACAAUCUUGACAUGCAUUCAAGGACUGUGAAGAAACUCAAAGCCAUCCCUCAAGAGGUCUAUUUGAAGAAACUCAUGUUUAGCCUGAAGAUGAGAUGUAGGAGACAUGUGGCACAUACCUUUGCAUAUUUGAAGAAGGACAUGGAAGAGGGAUUAGCCUUAUUCUCUUUGGUCCCAGAGGACAAAAUCAGGACCAAGGGAAUAGAAGUUAUAUAGCCAGAGAUUUUUGUCUCAAUAUAGUAAUUUCCUUUCAAUGAGUCCUAUCUAAAAGUGGAAUGGAAUGACUCAGAAGGUACUUCAUAGGAUUGUUGUGAGACUCAUAGGAGAUAAGGCAUGCAAAAUACUUGGCAAGCUAUAUGAAUAAUACAAAUAUAUGUCAUAUUUGUAUUUAUUACAUAUAAAAUAUAUAAAUAAAAAAUUGGUGUGCUAUAUAAAUGUUAAUUAUCACCAGCAUAAUAAUUGGUAGUAUCAAUGAAUCCCUUCUUACUUCAAGUCUUCUGCUGAAGGUCAUACAAUCACUUGCCAGAAAUAAUACAUAGAAGAGAUUCUUUUUUCUGGUUUGAGUCAGACUAGUUGCCUUCUGAGAUCCCUUUCACCCCAAGAUCGAAAGAUUCUUCAGCUUCUCAAAUGGAUCCUUUCCUUCCCCAUUCUUCUCCACCCCUGUUCCUUUAAUCCUAUUUAUAUAGGCAGAAAAGACACAGAAGUCUUACUGCUGGCAUACAUCCUUAGGAAAUGAAUGACAAAUAUUAAGUUCUGGUUUUUUGAAAGAGACCUAACUUGUACUGGUGGUUCAGGCUAGAGACUAAUAGGAAACAAGACAUUCGCAGACCAUAUAACAUUUAACAAAAGGAAUUUACUGAACAAUAGCAUGGAAAGACUAGUUAGCAAGGAUAUAGCAUUGAUUUGGUUGGAUAUAACACUUCUUGUCUUUAUAAGGAAACAGGCUUAGUUGGGAGAAUGUAUUGACUAACAGGGCACCAAGGAGUUCGUCUAGCUUGAGUUGGACCUGGCUUCUCCUGUGUUGAGCUUGUAUAAAUAGAAAUUUCAUACCUUUGAAUUACAUCUCCCAGCAUCCCUUUCCUCUUUCAUCCCCAGCUUGUGUGUUUGCGUAUUGCAUAUAGUUGUGUAUAACUCCACCUCUUGCUCUCUUCUCUCAAGACUGUGGCUGAGUCAGUUUCCUUUUUACUCUAGCUUUUGAUUUUAGUAAUUAUUAAUAAAUCUUAUUAAAUAUAA